UGUAGUGAGCCGAAAUCGCGCAACUGCACUCCAGCUUGGCGACAGAGUGAGACUCCGUCUCAAAAACAAAAACUAUCUGUUUACCUAUCUGGAAGCGACUGCAAAAAUAUACAUCAAAUGUCAAAAGUUGUUACCUCCCAAGUAUUGGGACCAUGAGUGCUCUUUAAUUUUCUUUUCCCUUAGCUAUAUGAUCUAAAUUUCUUACAAUCAGUACUUAACGUUUUGUACUUUCGAAAAAAUAGAGGCAAUUCGCUGAUGUGAAGAGGGAGCCCCUGAAGUUUCAGAGGCCCUACAGGCCAGAGAGGGGCUCAGUGCAGGGUGUGCACUGGGUAAAGACGAGGGGCCCCAUCCGCUAGGUUUGCCUGCUGCCCUCUGGUCAGAUGAAUGUCUUCAUCUGCCUUGAACAUCAGCCCUCCCUUAUGUAUGUUGCAAAUGUUUCCUCCCAGAGUAACACCUGAAUAUGGGCUCGCGGUAGAAAGUUCAAACAGAACUGCAGGACCCAUAGUGAAGGAAUGGCGAGGGGUGGGGUGGGUUACUGACUCCGUGGGAGGGUGAGGCAGCUCCUUGAUCUGCGAGGCUCAAGUAAGUAGUUUGAGGCAGGACCCCGAGUCUGGGGACUAUGGGACGCAGGGUCCCGCCUCCAAAGCGGGAUGACUUAGGUAUUGGAGCCAGCGCCGGCUUCCCCUGCCGCCCAAGCCAUGGCCGUCCCUCUACCGCCCCCUGUGGUCAGGGCUGGGCCUGCAGGCGUGGGACAGCCUCUAGGUUGGUGCAGGGGGUGCGGGGAGAGGGAGGCAGUCAGGCCCAAUGCGGAACCCUUCGUUGAUCUGGCAGCGGUGGAGAUGUUGUUCCACACUAGCCGAUUUUCUAGGAAGGAAAAGGGUCAGAUUAUUUUAGCUCCAGUUUUCACCCCCUCAGUUUGAUAGAAAUUUCCCUGAAAACAGUUUCCUGUAUUCAAUACAAACACAGAAAAGAUUUGGACCAUUUCUUGGUGACUGCAAAUCAUCACUUGGAGCGUUAGUUAUAAGCUAUUAAUUCAUGGUGGGACAGUCUUGUCCCUACGCUGAAUGGCUCCAGAUUUUUGUCUUGAGCAAACAGCAGGCCGCAGAGAAUUGUCUCAGUUCUUCUCUAAGUUUUUUCCCUCCACUAUCCAGCAUAUCCUCUCAUUCCUUGCUUGCUUUUCUAAGAGAUUUGGACCAGAAGAGAACAGCACCUGCCCAGGAUCCCCAAAUCCCUGCCCCGAGGCCACACCUCCUGAGGGAGGCUCAGAACCUUCCACAGAGCUUUUCUCUCCUUGCUCCAUUUCCUUCAAAGCCAGCUUGCUUGAGAUUUCCAUAUUUAUGAUUAAAAAUUCUUCUGCAGAGUAGGAAGCCGUGUCUACAACAACUACAAACAACAACCGCGAAGAUGCUUUGCCUUUGUACAGCACUCUCAAGUUCCAGCAAACUCUAUGUUCAUUGAUCCUCUCAGCAGGAAGAUGAAAAUUAAAACCAUGAGUUACUACUGUACAUCCACCAGAAAGGCCAAAAUUUAGAAAGCUGAUAAUAUCAAGUGUUGAUGAGGAUGAGGAGCAGCUGGAACUCUCAUACUACACUGCUGGGAGUGUACAGUGUUACAGCCACUUUGGAAAACUGGAUGACAGAAGUAUUCUACAUUUUGAUCAUGGUGGUGGGUUUAUGAAUGUACACGUGCAAAAAUUCAAUGAGCCUUACAGCUAAGAUCUCUGUAAUUUUUUUUUUGGAUACAAGUAUAUCUUGGUUAAAAGUUUCAGAGUUGGGGGAAAGGUGUGUGCUUCUGAAAUGUUGACAAAAUUGCUUUCCGUUGAGAUUGCAAUAAUUUAUAUUUGAACCAGCAAAGUGUAAGUGUGCCUGUUCAUUUAACCUCUUAAAAACUGAGAGUUAUUGGCGGGGCAUGGUGGCUCACGCUUGUAAUCCCAGCACUUUGGGAGGCCAAGACAGGCGGAUCACGAGGUCAGGAGAUCGAGCCCAUCCUGGCUAACACAGUGAAACUCCAUCUCCACUAAAAAUACAAAAAAUUAGCCGGCCAUGGUGGCAGGCACCUGUAGUUCCAGCUACUUGGGAGGCUGAGGCAGGAGAAUGGCGUGAACCCGGGAGGCAGAUCUUGCAGUGAGCCAAGAUUGUGCCACUGUACUCCAGCCUGAGGGACAGAGCGAGACUCUGUCUCAAAAAAAAACCAAAAACCAAAAAACAAAAAAACCUGAGUGUUAUCAUAUGUUUUAAUUUUUUGCCAAGCUGAUGAGUGGGAAACUUUGUCAGAGUAGUUUCAAUUAACAUUUUUAUUAAAAAUGAGGUUGAAAAUAUCGUCGUAUGCUUACAAUCUAUUUGCAUUUCCUUUUUGUGUGAAUUGUCUGUCCAUAUUCUUCACCUAUUUUUUAUAGGGUCUUUGAUUAAUUUCUUAUUGAUGGAAGAAGUCCUUUAUAUGUUAGGGAAAUGAGCCUUUUGGAAUAUGAGUUGCAAGUAUACGUUUCAAAUGGUACUUUUUGCAGUGCAGAUUUAUUUGUUUACAUUUCAAGUAUUUAAGUUUACCAGUCUUUUAUGGCUUCUGGAUCUUGGGCCAUAGUUAGAAAGGCUUUCUCUGAGAUUAUAAAGAAGUAACCUUUUUACUAGGCCUUUCACUACUUUUAGAAUUUCAUUCUUAUAUUUAAAUCUUUGGUGCAUUUUGAACUUAUCUUGGUGUAAAGAAUGAGGUAUAGAUUAACUUUUUUUCCCCCAGGUAUCUAUCCAGUUGAAAUAAUUCCAGGUAAUGAGUAAUCCUUUCUUUCCCCUACUGAUUUGAGAUUCAGGCUUUGCUGCAUUCUACAUUUCUGAAUGUAUUUGGGUUUAUUUUACAGACUGUCCAUUAUUUUCUACUUAAUAGUCUUGUUAUUCAUGUACCAGUACCACAAUGCUGUGUUACUAAGACUUCAUAAUAUGUUUUAAUAUCAACAGGGAUAGUCACCACUCAUUGUGGUCUUUUCUCAAACGUAGUUGGCUCUUCUAGCUUAUAUAUUUUAAUAUAUAAUUUUAGGAUCUGCUUAUAUAGAUAGAAAAUAUUGAUAUUUUAUUGGGAUUAUGUUAAAUUGAUAAAUUAAAGAGAAUGUCAACCUUAUGAUGUUGAGUCUAAAUAUCCAUGAUCAUAGUUUACUUUUUGUAGUCCUUUGUGUCCUUUUGUGGUGUAUUAAAAGCUUCUUCACAUA